AAAUAUGUGUGUGCGCGCACGCACGCGUGCGUGUGUGAGACAAGUUGAAAUAGAGAGCACAAAAAGUAGUAAUUGCAAAGAGAAUAUUGAAAGCAACCAAAAAGAGAGUGUCGAAAGCAAUUUUGAGGACAAUUAUCAUUCAUGAAUGCAAGAAAAGAUUGUUUUAUUUCUAACAAUCUACCAUGCCAUGGGGAUAGACAACCUUAUGACCAAUGUCUUUUUUGCUAAUAGGAUCUAUAAGGUUGAGUCUUGGAUAGAAGAAAUUGGAACUCUAUGCAUGACACUAGAAGUUUAUGGCUUACCAAACCCUAAGUUGAAUAGGAAAUUUUGCAUCCCAUUGGAAAAUCAGAUUGUAAGUUUUUGUACUUCGAGAUAAUUAGGACCCAUUCCAAGAUUAAUAUAGGAACCUUCCACUGGUGAAGCCUUGGUGGGAAAAGUAAAGAUCCCUCUACCCAAACUCUUCUCCAAAAUAAAGGAGUGCUUUAAACUAGUGAGGCCUAAAGGGUCAGGCUACAAGGUCGACGGGUACAUCCAACUGGCUAUGAAAAUGAAAAGGCUUUAAAAUGCAUAACUAGUUUGAUUAAUUUUUAGUCUCUGUUUUCAGCAGCUAUUAGAUUGCUAUAAUUAAUUAGAAAUUUGUAUUUCCCUUUUGAGUCUAAUGAGAAUAUCUAUGUUUGAUUUUGUAUUUCAAUUUACUUUGUUUGGUAUUUUCUUAUCUUUUGCUAAAUCUCUUGCAAUCAUUUGCAUAAAUGUUUUUAUUUUUGUUCAUUAGGACGCAAUUUGAGGGGAAAAAUUAAUUAUUAAACCAAUUUGAAAAGCCAUUUUAAGAACAAUUAUCCUUCAGAAAUGUAGGAAAAUAUUGCUUUAUUGCUAAUAAUUUAACAUGCCAUGGGGAUAGACAGCCCUACGACCAAUA
rnacentral:misc_RNA from 1 species